AUUGAACGCUGGCGGCAGGCUUAACACAUGCAAGUCGAGCGGAGCGAUGGUGCUUGCACUAUCACUUAGCGGCGGACGGGUGAGUAAUGCUUAGGAAUCUGCCUAUUAGUGGGGGACAACAUCUCGAAAGGGAUGCUAAUACCGCAUACGUCCUACGGGAGAAAGCAGGGGAUCACUUGUGACCUUGCGCUAAUAGAUGAGCCUAAGUCGGAUUAGCUAGUUGGUGGGGUAAAGGCCUACCAAGGCGACGACGGGUAGCCGGCCUGAGAGGGGGACCGGCCACACUGGGACUGAGACACGGCCCAGACUCCUACGGGAGGCAGCAGUGGGGAAUAUUGGACAAUGGGGGGAACCCUGAUCCAGCGAUGCCGCGUGAGUGAAGAAGGCCUUCGGGUCGUAAAGCUCUUUAGGUUGGGAAGAAAGUUAUCUGAGGAUAAUGCAGGUAAUGUGACGGUACCGACAGAAUAAGCACCGGCAAACUCUGUGCCAGCCGCCGCCGUAACAC
rnacentral:rRNA from 1 species